GGAGAGGUGACAGAGUGGCCGAUUGUGCAGCACUGGAAAUGCUGUGUAUCGCAAGGUACCAUGGGUUCGAAUCCCAUCCUCUCCGCCA
rnacentral:tRNA from 1 species